rnacentral:rRNA from 1 species
GACGAACGCUGGCGGCGUGCUUAACACAUGCAAGUCGAACGGAAAGGCCCGGCUCUUGCGGGUUGCUCGUGUGGCGAACGGGUGAGUAACACGUGAGUAACCUGCCCCUGACUUUGGGAUAACUUCAGGAGACUGGGGCUAAUACCGGAUAGGAGCUCCUGCUGCACGGUGGGGGUUGGAAAGUUUCGGCGGUUGGGGAUGGACUCGCGGUCUAUCAGCUUGUUGGUGGGGUAGUGGCUUACCAAGGCUUGGACGGGUAGCCGGCCUGGGAGGGUGACCGGCCACAUUGGGACUGAGAUACGGCCCAGACUGCUACGGGAGGAAGCAGUGGGGAAUAGUGCACGAUGGGCGGAAGCCUGAUGCAGCAACGCCGCGUGCGGGAUGACGGCCUUCGGGUUGUAAACCGCUUUCGCGUGUGACGAAGCGUGAGUGACGGUAAUGGGUAAAGAAGCACCGGCUAACUACGUG